GUAGAUAUCAGGAAGAACAUCUGUGGCGAAGGCGAGCUUCUGGCCAGAAACUGACGCUGAGGCGCGAAAGCGUGGGGAGCGAACAGGAUUAGAUACCCUGGUAGUCCACGCUGUAAACGAUGUGCACUAGGUGUUGGCUGUGAUAACGGUCAGUGCCGAAGCAAACGCGAUAAGUGCACCGCCUGGGGAGUAUGCUCGCAAGGGUGAAACUCAAAGGAAUUGACGGGGGCCCGCACAAGCGGUGGAGCAUGUGGUUUAAUUCGAUGAUACGCGAGGAACCUUACCAGGGUUUGACAUAUGGCGGACUGCGGCAGAGAUGUCGCUUCCCUUCGGGGCAGUCAUACAGGUGAUGCAUGGCCGUCGUCAGCUCGUGCUGUGAGGUGUUGGGUUAAGUCCCGCAACGAGCGCAACCCCUGCUGUCUGUUACCAGCACGUAAUGGUGGGGACUCAGGCGGUACUGCCAGGUGACAAAACCGGAGGAAGGUGGGAGAAGAUCGUGCAACGUCAUCAUCGGCCCUUAUGUCGCUGGGCUACACACGUGCUACCAAUGACCGGUACAGAGUGCAGCGAAACCCGAGAGGUGGAGCAAAUCACAGAAAGCCGGUCUCAGUACGGAUUGGAGUGUGAAACCCGACUUCAUGAAGCUGGAAUGCGCUAGUAAUCGCGCAUCAGCAUGGUCGCGGUGAUACGUUCCCGGGCCUUGUACACACCGCCCGUCACAC
rnacentral:rRNA from 1 species